rnacentral:rRNA from 1 species
UACGUAGGUGGCAAGCGUUGUCCGGAAUUAUUGGGCGUAAAGCGCGCGCAGGCGGCCUCUUAAGUCUGAUGUGAAAGCCCCCGGCUCAACCGGGGAGGGCCAUUGGAAACUGGGAGGCUUGAGUAUAGGAGAGAAGAGUGGAAUUCCACGUGUAGCGGUGAAAUGCGUAGAGAGUGUGGAGGAACACCAGUGGCGAAGGCGACUCUUUGGCCUAUAACUGACGCUGAGGCGCGAAAGGCGUGGGGAGCAAACAGG